ACACUCUUAAAUCCCUGCUUCACAAUUAGAUCAUUACAAAUCCUAGCACAGUCAUCUUUUAAUCCUACAUUUGUAAAACUAGAAUUUUUAUCAUUUGGAGGUGUAAUUUUCUUUUUCUUUUUUUCUUCCCCCCAUCCCCCUUCCUCCAUCUCUUCUUACAACUCUUCUUUCUUUUUCGUUGUACUUGGGGAUAAACUCAGAGCCUACAUAAUAAGCUUAGUCUCCAAACUUGUUUAUUUAUUUAUAUAUUAUUUAUUUGCUUUGAGACAAGAUGUUGCUGAGUUGGCCAGGCUGGACUCUCAGAUCUUCCCACCUCAGCCUCCCAGAAUGUUGGGAUCGCAAGGUGUCCACCGCUACGUUCAGCUGGAGGAUGUUAAUUUGUUGAGGCAUAGGAUUUGUCAGCAGAGACAAUGGAAAAAUUUGAGAAGAGAAAACAGCCCAUAUGCCCAUCAGUUGGAGAUUGGAUAAAGAAGAUGUGGUUUUUCUAUAAAGUGGAAUACUACUCAGCCAUAAAGAACGAGAAAUUAGAUUCAUUCAUAGGAAAAUGGAUACAUAUUGAAGACAUACUCCUAAAUGAAGUAAAUAAGUCACACAUGUGUGAAUACCAAAUAGUUUCUCUGGUGUGAAUAACUGUAAUAGUACAUAAGAUCUUAAUGAGAUAACUGACUGUGAAAUGGGAAGAAAAGGGC
rnacentral:lncRNA from 1 species